rnacentral:misc_RNA from 1 species
GUAUGGAGGUGGAGUGGAGAGCAGAAGGGGCGUUAUUCUAUUCGCAGUGCUUACAAAGCAUUGACAAGAUCUAAUAUUGGUGAAAUGGAGCAAAGUAAUGAGUUGCUAUCUUUUUGGAAAAAAAUUUUGGGCAUUGAAAAUCCUUCUGCAGGGGAAGAAUCUGGUAUGGCAGGCAAUGAAUUAAUGUAUUCCUACAAAAGAUUUGCUUUUACGAAGGAGAAUGGAAGUAUAUGAGGUGUGUCCAGUUUGUGGUAGGGUAAGGGAGACUAUUGUUCAUGUAUUUAUUGAUUGUCAGGUUUCGUGGGGUUGCUAGAAUAUAUCAGUUCGCUUGAUGUCCUCUGUUGCCAUGAGAUUUGUGGAUUCCUCUAAAAAAAAUUUUAAGUGUUUAUUGGUUGUAUUUAAGGAGGGUAGCUUAGAGGAGAUUCAACAAUCAUGUAUGAUAUUAUGGGGUUUGUGGAAGAACCGGAAUGAAGC